rnacentral:rRNA from 1 species
UACGAAGGGGGGCUAGCGUUGCUCGGAAUCACUGGGCGUAAAGCGCACGUAGGCGGCUUUCUAAGUCAGGGGUGAAAUCCUGGAGCUCAACUCCAGAACUGCCUUUGAUACUGGAGAGCUCGAGUCCGGAAGAGGUGAGUGGAACUGCGAGUGUAGAGGUGAAAUUCAUAGAUAUUCGCAAGAACACCAGUGGCGAAGGCGGCUCACUGGUCCGGUACUGACGCUGAGGUGCGAAAAGCGUGGGGAGCAAACAGG